rnacentral:ribozyme from 1 species
UGCUAAGCAACUCCUAUCCCUACCUCCACAUGGCACCGGCCGGGCUGCGUGCAACCUUAGGGAAGAUCUAGUAACCAACCCCGGGUGAAAUUAUGUGAGUAGGCUAACAGGGAAGG